CUGUGAUCCUGGAAACCCACAGUGCUCACGCUGACCGCUCUCUCUCCCUGCUGCUUGGGGCCCUGGCUGUGCCUCCAGAUAAAUCGUGGUGACUGCUCAGAGAGCCACAUCAAGCUCCCCGCCAUUCUGCUUUCAGUACGGCACACUGCAUCGUGCUCCACUCUGACCAGCAAGCUCCUACACUGGGCCACCAAGUAACCUGCAUAAACACGCCAGGCAGCUCUGCUCCUACGCCAUUGCAAAGACACAGCUCCUCUGUGAAGCCAUCCCUGACUUUGUCAGGCUGACUUAGGCCAUAUCUUUCUCUAGGCUCACCGUGAACACUAUGGUAAAAGCACUGAGAACUUUUUGGAGAAUCUAGCAAACAAGCACUACUGGGCCUCUUCCCUUCACUCAAGAAUCACUCUCCGGCAAUCUUCAGAGGCAGCAUAAGAAGAGGUGACUGAGAACGAGGUCCAGCCUGCGUCUGACUUCCUCCCCCACUCGCCGCAUUAUUAGUGAUCUGUCUGGAGAGCUGGCUGAAGGCUCAGAGCCUGGGUGUGGUUCCUUGGAGUCAGGCAAGGGACAGAAGUCCUUACUAGAGAUGGGAGAGAGAAACUGAGCUGGAGGACAGAGCCAAACCCAAAACUGGGCUAGAGAGGUGAGGUGCAAAACUCAUGGAGAAGUCAGGUGGAAAACAAUUUGGAGGAGCCCAGGGAAGAGGAUUUCUAGAGGGGACUCGUCUCUGAGCGCUCACCCUUUGGGAACAGCGGGGAAGGAGGAGGGACUCACAGGCCACACCUGUCAACCAGACAGAGUUGCCUUUUCCAGCGCAGGUCAGCCUCUUAUCUCUCCAUUCCUCUGGACCUGGCCAGUUGUACCUGACCCCACCUCCACUCUCCAUAGGGAAAGCCCCCUUGUUGGGGCCUCCCUGCCAUUGUCCAGCUUCAGGCCUGCAAAAGCCCCAAGUUCUAACAGAGAGCUGGGAGGCCCCAGCCCACAUGUCAUCAUAAGCCUGACCACAGAGUGCUAAGUGAAACCAACACUUAGCUCCCCAUUUGACUUGUAUGGAUUGUUCGAUGGAUUAGAACGCAGAGGGGAGGAGGGAGGAACUAUGGGCUUCUCCGACCUCAGACAGAAAGUCUCAUGGGACAAACCUAAUCAACCAAAUGCACUCCACUUGAAGAAAGACUGAAAAGGAAGUGAACCAUCAGUCUAAAACUACCUUCAGCCUUUAUAAAUCCUGCGGAGAAUGUGUUAAAAAUGCAGAUUCCAGGGCCUCUCCCUCCAGAUUUUGAUUCUGGAAAGUCUGGGAUGAGACCCGGGAAUGUGAAUAUUUAAGUUCCCCAAGGAAUUUGGAUGCAGGUAAUUUUCAGACCAGACUUUGAGAAACAGUGGCCUGGACAAUAAAAGGGAGAGAUUUAAACGUUUGAAGUUGCUGGGGUCACCUAAGCACCAUGCAAGGGGCAGUCAGGCUGUACCAGCUGCACCCUUGUGGUGAAUUAAGCAGCAAAACUCCCCUUGUUCUAGCUGUGGGCUCAUCCACAAUCUUCU
rnacentral:lncRNA from 1 species